GACGAACGCUGGCGGCGUGCCUAAUACAUGCAAGUAGAACGCUGAAGGAGGAGCUUGCUCUUCUGGAAGAGUUGCGAACGGGUGAGUAACGCGUAGGUAACCUGCCUGGUAGCGGGGGAUAACUAUUGGAAACGAUAGCUAAUACCGCAUAAUAUUGAAUAUCGCAUGAUAAUUGAUUAAAAGAUGCAAUUGCAUCACUACCAGAUGGACCUGCGUUGUAUUAGCUAGUAGGUGAGGUAACGGCUCACCUAGGCGACGAUACAUAGCCGACCUGAGAGGGUGAUCGGCCACACUGGGACUGAGACACGGCCCAGACUCCUACGGGAGGCAGCAGUAGGGAAUCUUCGGCAAUGGGGGCAACCCUGACCGAGCAACGCCGCGUGAGUGAAGAAGGUUUUCGGAUCGUAAAGCUCUGUUGUAAGAGAAGAACGAGUGUGAGAGUGGAAAGUUCACACUGUGACG
rnacentral:rRNA from 1 species